CCUACGGGAGGCAGCAGUGGGGAAUAUUGGACAAUGGGGGCAACCCUGAUCCAGCCAUGCCGCGUGUGUGAAGAAGGCCCUCGGGUUGUAAAGCACUUUCAGUGAGGAAGAACGCCUGGUGGUUAAUACCCAUCAGGAAAGACAUCACUCACAGAAGAAGCACCGGCUAACUCCGUGCCAGCAGCCGAGGUAAUACGGAGGGUGCGAGCGUUAAUCGGAAUUACUGGGCGUAAAGCGCGCGUAGGUGGCUUGAUAAGCCGGUUGUGAAAGCCCCGGGCUCAACCUGGGAACGGCAUCCGGAACUGUCAAGCUAGAGUGCAGGAGAGGAAGGUAGAAUUCCCGGUGUAGCGGUGAAAUGCGUAGAGAUCGGGAGGAAUACCAGUGGCGAAGGCGGCCUUCUGGACUGACACUGACACUGAGGUGCGAAAGCGUGGGUAGCAAACAGGAUUAGAUACCCCAGUAGUC
rnacentral:rRNA from 1 species